GCUGGCCGUGGCGCGCGACGAUCACGCGGGCGUCUUUUGGGCGCUCGGCGAAGCUGGCGCGGCCGUCGCCGUCGGUCUCGCCGCGGGCCAGCACC
rnacentral:tRNA from 1 species